rnacentral:rRNA from 1 species
UACCAGCACCCCGAGUGGUCGGGACGAUUAUUGGGCCUAAAGCAUCCGUAGCCGGUCAUGCAAGUCUUCCGUUAAAUCCAGCCGCUCAACGGUUGGGCUGCGGAGGAUACUACGUGGCUAGGAGGCGGGAGAGGCAAGCGGUACUCAGUGGGUAGGGGUAAAAUCCUUUGAUCAUGAAGACCACCAGUGGCGAAGGCGGCUUGCCAGAACGCGCUCCGACGGUGAGGGAUGAAAGCUGGGGGAGCAAACCGG